UGGGGAAUUUUGGACAAUGGGCGAAAGCCUGAUCCAGCAAUGCCGCGUGUGUGAAGAAGGCCUUCGGGUUGUAAAGCACUUUUGUCCGGAAAGAAAUCCUCUGGGUUAAUACCUCGGGGGGAUGACGGUACCGGAAGAAUAAGCACCGGCUAACUACGUGCCAGCAGCCGCGGUAAUACGUAGGGUGCAAGCGUUAAUCGGAAUUACUGGGCGUAAAGCGUGCGCAGGCGGUUUUGUAAGACGGAUGUGAAAUCCCCGGGCUUAACCUGGGAACUGCAUUCGUGACUGCAAGGCUAGAGUAUGGCAGAGGGGGGUAGAAUUCCACGUGUAGCAGUGAAAUGCGUAGAGAUGUGGAGGAAUACCGAUGGCGAAGGCAGCCCCCUGGGCCAAUACUGACGCUCAUGCACGAAAGCGUGGGGAGCAAACAGGAUUAGGAUAACCCUGGUAGUCCCACGCCCUAAACCGAUGUCAACUAGUUGUUGGGGAUUCAUUUCCUUAGUAACGUAGCAACGCGU
rnacentral:rRNA from 1 species